rnacentral:rRNA from 1 species
GGGUUGUGAGGUUAAGCGACUAAGCGUACACGGUGGAUGCCCUGGCAGUCAGAGGCGAUGAAGGACGUGCUAAUCUGCGAUAAGCGCCGGUAAGGUGAUAUGAACCGUUAUAACCGGCGAUUUCCGAAUGGGGAAACCCAGUGUGAUUCGUCACACUAUCAUUAACUGAAUCCAUAGGUUAAUGAGGCGAACCGGGGGAACUGAAACAUCUAAGUACCCCGAGGAAAAGAAAUCAACCGAGAUUCCCCCAGUAGCGGCGAGCGAACGGGGAGGAGCCCAGAGCCUGAAUCAGCAUGUGUGUUAGUGGAAGCGUCUGGAAAGGCGCGCGAUACAGGGUGACAGCCCCGUACACAAAAGCGCAUGUGCUGUGAGCUCGAUGAGUAGGGCGGGACACGUGGUAUCCUGUCUGAAUAUGGGGGGACCAUCCUCCAAGGCUAAAUACUCCUGACUGACCGAUAGUGAACCAGUACCGUGAGGGAAAGGCGAAAAGAACCCCGGCGAGGGGAGUGAAAAAGAACCUGAAACCGUGUACGUACAAGCAGUGGGAGCACAGGUUUACCUGUGUGACUGCGUACCUUUUGUAUAAUGGGUCAGCGACUUAUAUUCUGUAGCAAGGUUAACCGAAUAGGGGAGCCGGAGGGAAACCGAGUCUUAAUUGGGCGUUAAGUUGCAGGGUAUAGACCCGAAACCCGGUGAUCUAGCCAUGGGCAGGUUGAAGGUUGGGUAACACUAACUGGAGGACCGAACCGACUAAUGUUGAAAAAUUAGCGGAUGACCUGUGGCUGGGGGUGAAAGGCCAAUCAAACCGGGAGAUAGCUGGUUCUCCCCGAAAGCUAUUUAGGUAGCGCCUCGUGAAUUCAUCUCCGGGGGUAGAGCACUGUUUCGGCUAGGGGGCCAUCCCGGCUUACCAACCCGAUGCAAACUGCGAAUACCGGAGAAUGUUAUCACGGGAGACACACGGCGGGUGCUAACGUCCGUCGUGAAGAGGGAAACAACCCAGACCGCCAGCUAAGGUCCCAAAGUCAUGGUUAAGUGGGAAACGAUGUGGGAAGGCCCAGACAGCCAGGAUGUUGGCUUAGAAGCAGCCAUCAUUUAAAGAAAGCGUAAUAGCUCACUGGUCGAGUCGGCCUGCGCGGAAGAUGUAACGGGGCUAAACCAUGCACCGAAGCUGCGGCAGCGACGCUGAUGCGUUGUUGGGUAGGGGAGCGUUCUGUAAGCCUGCGAAGGUGACCUGUGAGGGUUGCUGGAGGUAUCAGAAGUGCGAAUGCUGACAUAAGUAACGAUAAAGCGGGUGAAAAGCCCGCUCGCCGGAAGACCAAGGGUUCCUGUCCAACGUUAAUCGGGGCAGGGUGAGUCGACCCCUAAGGCGAGGCCGAAAGGCGUAGUCGAUGGGAAACGGGUUAAUAUUCCCGUACUUGGUGUUACUGCGAAGGGGGGACGGAGAAGGCUAUGUUGGCCGGGCGACGGUUGUCCCGGUUUAAGCGUGUAGGUGUGUGUUCCAGGUAAAUCCGGUUCACUUUAACACUGAGGCGUGACGACGAGGCACUACGGUGCUGAAGCAACAAAUGCCCUGCUUCCAGGAAAAGCCUCUAAGCAUCAGGUAACACGAAAUCGUACCCCAAACCGACACAGGUGGUCAGGUAGAGAAUACCAAGGCGCUUGAGAGAACUCGGGUGAAGGAACUAGGCAAAAUGGUGCCGUAACUUCGGGAGAAGGCACGCUGACACGUAGGUGAAGUGAUUUACUCAUGGAGCUGAAGUCAGUCGAAGAUACCAGCUGGCUGCAACUGUUUAUUAAAAACACAGCACUGUGCAAACACGAAAGUGGACGUAUACGGUGUGACGCCUGCCCGGUGCCGGAAGGUUAAUUGAUGGGGUCAGCGUAAGCGAAGCUCCUGAUCGAAGCCCCGGUAAACGGCGGCCGUAACUAUAACGGUCCUAAGGUAGCGAAAUUCCUUGUCGGGUAAGUUCCGACCUGCACGAAUGGCGUAAUGAUGGCCAGGCUGUCUCCACCCGAGACUCAGUGAAAUUGAACUCGCUGUGAAGAUGCAGUGUACCCGCGGCAAGACGGAAAGACCCCGUGAACCUUUACUAUAGCUUGACACUGAACAUUGAGCCUUGAUGUGUAGGAUAGGUGGGAGGCUUUGAAGUGUGGACGCCAGUCUGCAUGGAGCCGACCUUGAAAUACCACCCUUUAAUGUUUGAUGUUCUAACGUGGACCCGUAAUCCGGGUUGCGGACAGUGUCUGGUGGGUAGUUUGACUGGGGCGGUCUCCUCCUAAAGAGUAACGGAGGAGCACGAAGGUUGGCUAAUCCUGGUCGGACAUCAGGAGGUUAGUGCAAUGGCAUAAGCCAGCUUGACUGCGAGCGUGACGGCGCGAGCAGGUGCGAAAGCAGGUCAUAGUGAUCCGGUGGUUCUGAAUGGAAGGGCCAUCGCUCAACGGAUAAAAGGUACUCCGGGGAUAACAGGCUGAUACCGCCCAAGAGUUCAUAUCGACGGCGGUGUUUGGCACCUCGAUGUCGGCUCAUCACAUCCUGGGGCUGAAGUAGGUCCCAAGGGUAUGGCUGUUCGCCAUUUAAAGUGGUACGCGAGCUGGGUUUAGAACGUCGUGAGACAGUUCGGUCCCUAUCUGCCGUGGGCGCUGGAGAACUGAGGGGGGCUGCUCCUAGUACGAGAGGACCGGAGUGGACGCAUCACUGGUGUUCGGGUUGUCAUGCCAAUGGCACUGCCCGGUAGCUAAAUGCGGAAGAGAUAAGUGCUGAAAGCAUCUAAGCACGAAACUUGCCCCGAGAUGAGUUCUCCCUGAGACUUAGAGUCUCCUGAAGGAACGUUGAAGACGACGACGUUGAUAGGCCGGGUGUGUAAGCGCAGCGAUGCGUUGAGCUAACCGGUACUAAUGAACCGUGAGGCUUAACCUUACAACGCCGAAG